GAGUUUGAAACGGGAGGGGAGCCGGACCCAUUUGUCCACCGCCUCCAUCCUAAUAUAUAACAACACCAAACACAAACACAAACACAAACAAGCAAUACGCUCUCUGUUCUCUCUUUUUCAUAGUCGUCCGUUUGUUUGGCUUGCGUCGCUCUGUUUCUAUCCGAUCCUCUCUUCGCAAAGCAAAUUGCAAAGUUGGCCAUGUCGACAACACCGAAAUCAUCGUCCUCUUCGUCUUCUUUUCCAUACCAGAAAUUUGCUUGUAUUCUCGUACAAGGUUCUCGUAUGGCUUUGGAGUGGUAUGUCUUUAACAUCUCCGAUGAUGUUGAGCACAAUCAGGCUCCUCCUCCUCCUGGUCCUAGUCCGUUUCUACAAGCAAUAUUUCAUCCAAACUCCCACCAGCAGCCGAAUAUCAAACCCGCAGUGAUUGUACCUUCAGGAAGGAAGUGUUCCGUUUUAGGAUCCAACAACACUUUAUACCAUAUAGCUGGCCGCGAUUAUUGUGCUUCUGGACGCGACGAUUUAGUGUCUCGCUUUGACCUUACCAAUACCAAAAAAUCUAGGCAAGAGUUUCUUCCUCCAAUGCCUUAUGGCGUGUCAUCAGCGCAUGCCCUCUUUCUUGGCAACAAGCUUUAUUGCCUAGGUGGUUAUCAAGAAAACAAUCCCUGGGCCAUGGCUUACGACUUGAGUCUUGAUAGAUGGGAUUCUCUAGUGGAUCCUCCUCGCCGUCCCAAAAAUAUUGAUAAUAGUUUUUCAGUGGCUUUAGAGGUCCCAACCCCAACUAUUGUGGUGGGUUCAACUUUGCAGUCUUCUCCUCUCCAAAUCUAUGAUGUGCAUACCAAGUGUUGGAGACGACAUGAGUUUAUAAACAAGGAUGGCUUUUAUCUUUUCCCUCGGGGACAACCUGUGGCUGUUGAUAGCAAGUUUUAUUGGUAUGAAUUCAACUAUCAAUGCCUAGCUGCAUUUGAUGUGGUCACAAACGAGUGGUCAUUGGCCUAUGUCCCUAUACAUGACAGUCAUGAAUGUCUAUUGGAUGGAGAGAUCGAUUCACCUCCGCGCUUGGCUCAUCUAGCCGGUGAUGAUUUCUGCUUGUUUUGGGAAUCCCCCUGCCAGCAUUACGAACCUGGUGCCCCUCGUGACAGCGUCACAUCUCGCCUUCACUGCCUGAAGUUUCGUAUUUCCAAAGUUCACCCAAAGCAAGGAUCAACUUUUCGCUUGGAUGCCUCUAUCCUGUCAUGCCAAUCCUACGUUGUGCCUUGGGUAAAGCUCUUUCUUGAUGGCUUCGUGGGGGACGGUCAUUUGGAUUUGGGAUACAACUGCUUGAAAGUUUGACAACAUGAGUGUUUUUUUCUUCAGGCACCGUAGUAAAAGGGGGUCAAAAGAGAGAAUAGUUUAAUCAACAGUUUGAUCAACUGUGGACAAAAUAAUUUAAAUUUUGUAUCAACAGUUGUAAAACGUUGGAAAACAAUAACACUAUAUUGUAUAAAAGCUCAUUUUAAACUCAAGAGUUUAAAACAUUAAGGGGCUCUCUCGCUCUCGCUCCCGCUCUCUUUCAUAGCUCACAUCUCUCUCGGCUCCUCACAGAUUCACCGAGUUGGUACAAUCGCAUCCAAAUCUUGCGUAUAUUCACACUUUUACCUAUCCAAACCUCUGAUUAGUGAGAAUUCAGGGUUAAAAGUUUUGACCUCGAACCUGUUGUAUCGGGAUAAGUAUUUGCAUAGAGAGAGGAAGGGAGGGCUUGGAUUGUUGAUUCCAGAACAAGGACCGAAACAAGUGGAAGUGAAGGCUUAGGAGUUUGGGUAAUCUAAACUUUUAACAUAUGUAUACGUGUCAUUUUUCAUGUUGGAAUUGAUCAUUUGAACUUCAUUUUGUGGAGUAUAGAAUUGUGCAAUUGUUUUUUUAUAAGCAAUUGUUGUUGUAGGAAAAUUAGAUGUAGAAUAAAGGUUGUCACGGCAUUCCUUGCAUUUGAAUAUAAGUUAUACAACUUUCUAUUCAAAGGUUGCUCGAGCAUUGUGAUUAUUUGAAGAUUUGGAUUCCUGUUUCUGUAGUUUCUGGUUUUUAUAAAUUGUAGUUAGUAAAAAAAUGCUUAUAUAAAUAAAUUGUUAUUAGUUUCACGAAUCCAGUUUUGCCAUUUUAGUAGAAUUAUAAACCACUUGGAAAUGUCUCAUGACCUAAAACUCUUUUACCUUCUCCUCGUGGAACCAUGAUAUCAGCCAUACCACAUUUUGAUAAUUUAAAUGUGUGUUUCUAGGUUAGCUUCAUGAAUUUGGUCUAUACAUACAUUCUGUUAAGCUUUUAUCUGCUUGUCAAUGUCUCAUUAGCUUAGUCCAUAUACUCCUUUGGCUUGUCCUGUUAACACCAAAAUAUGAGUUCUUAACACUUUUUUAGUGUGUUAAUUCCUCUCUAUUAAAAUUGCUGUCUUUCUCCAGGUCACACAAAGGUCUUGCCUAACAUCAAAAGCAUUAAAGUAAAAAUUAGAUUCUUUGCUCUUCUUUAUGAUUAAAUUACUGUGGUUUUUGUUGCAGUGUUCAUUUGGUGGAAUUGCAAGGUACAGGUGAACUAUAUGCUAUGAAGGCAAUGGAAAAGUCAAUGAUGCUGAACCGUAACAAGGAUUACUAGCUUAAUCCUUUGGAUUUCCUCCCUGCAAAGUGCAACAAAUAAGUUACAUGCAAACUCAAGGAAAUAUGGGCUUAUGGUUAAGAUACAGUUUUGUGUGUGGCAAAUGAAUUCUAUACUGAAGGUGGAGUGGCCUUUAAACGUCCACUCUGAAGGAGAAACGUAACAUUUUUGCAAAGUUUCACGGAAUCUAAAACAUGGCCCCAUUUGAGCUAGCUCAAUCUGAUUGUUCUUCUUAACUUUACCAAUCAGGUUGUUGUUGGAAGUGUAUGGGAGAGAAAAAUCAGUCUGUUUUGUAGAGAAAGUUCAUUCUAUUUUGGCUGGAUACAUCUUCGUGUAGAUACAGUAUGAGCUAUCAGCAGUCUGUCAAAUGCUAUGUUUUGCAAGUUUUGAUUCACCCUUUGCUUCAAGUGCAGAACAGAUCUCAUGAUGAUGAUUUCCAAAAUUCUUGGUUUGUGCAAAGUAAACAUGUGACUUCCUCUUUACUUUUCUAAAUAUUCUUUGGUUCACUAUGACGUCAUAUGAAUGAAAUUACUGCUAUAUGUACUGAUUAGAAUGUACAGGUGGUAGAAUUUCCAGGAAAAUUACUUUUGUCUUGCUCUACAUCUACACAUAUAAAACUGUGAAUUUGUUACCCUCUUGGUUGUCUUUCUUUUUUUAUACAAUUCUUGUUCUCUAAGCUAUGUAUGUUGGACUGCAAUGAUGGUUUUGAAUCAUAGGCCUAAACUAUGCAGGAGUAUCUAUAUUCACCACCACCAAUGUAUUAAAGUUUACAAA